GAUGAACGCUGGCGGCGUGCUUAACACAUGCAAGUCGAACGGGAAACCUUUUAUUGAAGCUUCGGCAGAUUUAGCUGGUUUCUAGUGGCGGACGGGUGAGUAACGCGUGGGUAACCUGCCUUAUACAGGGGGAUAACAGUCAGAAAUGGCUGCUAAUACCGCAUAAGCGCACAGAGCUGCAUGGCUCAGUGUGAAAAACUCCGGUGGUAUAAGAUGGACCCGCGUUGGAUUAGCUGGUUGGUGGGGUAACGGCCCACCAAGGCGACGAUCCAUAGCCGGCCUGAGAGGGGGGACCGCCACAUUGGGACUGGGACACGGCCCAGACUCCUACGGGAGGCAGCAGUGGGGAAUAUUGCACCAUGGGGGAAACCCUGAUGCAGCGACGCCGGGUGAAGGAAGAAGGAUCUCGGUAUGGAAACUUCUAUCAGCAGGGAAGAUAAUGACGGUACCUGACGAAGAAGCCCCGGCUAACUACGUG
rnacentral:rRNA from 1 species